AACCCGUGAUGAGGAUAUUUUCUUAGAAGAUCCUUGAAUUUUUCAUGGGCUUCAAAAAGGGUCUCAAAAUCUCCUUGUCUGAAAGCUGAAAUUUCUUGCCUCAAACU